rnacentral:rRNA from 1 species
GAUGAACGCUGACAGAAUGCUUAACACAUGCCAGUCUACUUGAAUUUGGGUUUUUUAACUUAGAUUUGGGUGGCGGACGGGUGAGUAACGCGUAAAGAACUUGCCUCACAGUUAGGGACAACAUUUGGAAACGAAUGCUAAUACCUGAUAUUAUGAAUAUAUGGCAUCAUAUAAUUAUGAAAGCUAUAAGCGCUGUGAGAGAGCUUUGCGUCCCAUUAGCUAGUUGGAGAGGUAACGGCUCACCAAGGCGAUGAUGGGUAGCCGGCCUGAGAGGGUGAACGGCCACAAGGGGACUGAGACACGGCCCUUACUCCUACGGGAGGCAGCAGUGGGGAAUAUUGGACAAUGGACCAAGAGUCUGAUCCAGCAAUUCUGUGUGCACGAUGACGUUUUUCGGAAUGUAAAGUGCUUUCAGUUGGGAAGAAAAAAAUGACGGUACCAACAGAAGAAGUGACGGCUAAAUACGUG